UUUUUUUCUUUUUUUACUUUUUUGAAGUAAUAGCAUUACAGGACUAAUUACUUAGCAAGGUCUCUAUAAAUGUAUCUGCCUUUGAAACCUCUACAAAAGCACAAGUGAAAUUCCAGAGAGAAACAAACACAAACUCCCUUUUAAUUAAGCACCUUGCCUCUCUGUGGGGAGUGACAGAGUGAGCAGAUGCAGGGGGAUUGCCAAUUAAGACACAACUUCUUUGAUGGGAAGGGUACAGCCACACACAAGAGGAAAAAGGAGAGGAACUUGCCAUCCAAGUCAUUUUAAUUGGAUGCUCCAAGAGAUUAUGCAUUCCCCACAUUCCAUGCUGCCAAAAAAAUAUUACUGAUGCAAAUUACUAAAGAGCCACCAAAACAUGUCCUAAGAUGCUUGUUAUUGUUAUUACUAAAGCUACCUGCGCCCCUCACUCAUCCUGCUUGAGAGGGCUGUAACACAGGGAGAUAAUUCUCAGGGUUAAUUAGACAAAGGAACUGACAACUCUUGGAUUUAAUUUUGUUAUUGAUCAUUAUUAUUCACUAAACACCAAGCAUGCUUAGCAAAAACUUCUUGAAGAGAAUGCACAGUGAUGUCUAGCCUAAAUCAGUAUUAAAAGCAACCAAAAAAUUAAAAUCCAAAUUGCAAAUAGCUAAAAUAAACUCCUGAAAAUUGCAUGAGCCAGGAUGCAAACAGAAAAUGAACCAGAAGAUGGACUGGUCAUUUUCUGCAUAACUUUCAUUGAUUUGACAUUCUAAUAUUUUUGGUGUGCUGACUUUUCUCCUAUCCUAAUGACACUGCUGUUACUCUUUCAGCUUUGCUACAAAUCUGCAUGUUAACUUUCACUUCUGUUUUUGUCUGGUUUCAAUUGAAAUGCAUAUGAGCUUUCACAUGGCUUGUUCCACACCUUUGUACCCCUUGGGGAGGGACAAAAAAGGGCAGGAAACAGAAAUGGCUUGCUCGGUUUGCAGCCUGCUCAGGAAUCUUGAUUUUGCCUCCUUACACUUACGUCUCCCUGCAGAGGACAGAGCCCUGUGCAAGGAAAUUCAGGCACAGGAACCCAGAGCUGCUUUAUCUGAGCCUCCUUCCCCUGAACAUGACUGCUCUGGCAUCCAGGCCGAUGGAAACACAGAAGAAGAUCGGGAUUUCACUAUCUCGACUCAAAAUAAAUGAGUGUGACAGAAAAGGAACUCUUGUCUUUGCAAACAGAAGAAGAGCUCAGCCACUGCUGAGAAUGGGAUAACCAGGAAUGUGUUCCUGCCUUGGGAGAAGAGCCCAGGCUGCAGAGGUAGGCUGGGGCAGAGGAGCUGCUCCCUUCUGAGUCUCUCCAGCUGGCAAGCCAGAAACAACAGCAUUACUAGAUCUCAGUUAUAAACAGCAAAAACUAUUCUGGCUUCUGUGGAAGGACAAAAAAAGCCUGCAAGAAAAAAAGAAAUCAACCCAUAUCUUUUCUUCAUUUCUUUCUUCUCUCUGGGAAGUGUCUUAAUGCCACCAGCAAGAAAAAAAAAAGACAAAAAGUAAGAGGAAACUCCGGUGAUAGAUACCCAUCCUUCCUCCCUCCAGCUGCUUUCCCUGUGGCAAGUGCUCUGUUUAACCCUUUGGGGCUUCUUGCAAUCCCCACUGCACUGGGAUUUCUCUUCAAUGCACAGUCAACACUGAUGUCCACCGACCCCAAAUCCCUCCCAAACCGUAACACUCCAGGGAGUUCUGCAGUGUCCCCAGAUGAGAAGUUCCCCAUCUCCCCCACAUUAUCUACAUACACCCCUAGUGCAGAGUGCUGGCACAAUGCUUAUAAAAAUACACUGAGGCUGGAGCAGCUUAACAGUGUCGCCACACUGGGUUAUUAAUCAGAAUGAAAUGCCUGAGAAUAAAGGAAGUAAGGAUAUUUAAUUUAUGAGUGAAAAGGUGAAGGAACCUAAUUACAGCUAGGUAAUUCCUGCACAUGGAAAGUACAUCUCCUGUGACAGGGCUCCCUCAUCUAGCAGAGUUCCAGUGUCUGAAAAAUCAAAGCCAGACCUACCAAGGCUCAAAAUGGAGACAAGAUGCAAUUUUUCAAGAAGGAGGAAAGUGUUUCCAUUCUGUUUCAUUAGGUAUAUUUUCCAUCACUUGACUCCACUAUCCAUAUCCAUUAUCACUUACUAGAUAAUUUCCAAAAACAAAAACAAACAAACAACAAAAAAAAAAAAAAUCAGGAAACAGGAAAAGACAAGCAGAGAGGAGAGGUGGGAGAAUCAACUCGAUCUAGGCAGCUAAUUUAAACAUUAAGUCAAGAAACUCAAUUCCUGACAUAGCCAAGAAGAGAGAAUCAGGCUCUAAAUUCAGAGCUUUGAAUCACCCUGUGGCAGCUCUGGUGACUGUAUGUGGCCUUGAGGCUCCCAAAUUAGACAUCUGAACUUGCAUGCAUCUACAGCUAUUGGCCAUGCUGCUUGCAGCAAAUGCUAGUGGGAUUUGAACACCUAAUACUGUUUUUAAUUCUUGCUUAACUGUAGUGACAACAGUUGACAACAGUUUCAAGAGUUUUAUCUCAUUUUCGGCGAGGCCAAUGCUGUUACCAAAGUACAUCAUACCCUGAACCAUCCACAAGCAUAAAUCACACAUUUACUACCUGCAGCACACUAUAUAAACAUAUUUCAUCUUUCAGCCUCUAAAAAUAAUACAAAGUUACAUAUUUGCUAUAAACAUGAACAAAGCAAACUUCAUGCUGACAGGAUGCAUACAAGCAAAACCAGAGAACUUGUUUUAAGGAGAACAUCGAUGCAAAUUGCAUUGUAAGAAACAGUCAUCGAUCAGAUUCCGUAAUUCCUUGGCAUGUCUAUCCUUUGCAACAACUCUUAUAUUACUGUACAAUUAAAAAGAAAGCAAAUACCAAAUUCUCACCUCUCCCCAACUAAUAAACACUCUCAGUUCUUGAGAAAUAAAGUUCUGAAAUCCCACAUAACUCUCACUGAACUUUCAUCUGGUGCAGUAUAUUGUCACAAAGCAGAAAAUGCAGGUUGUGUUCCAUUAUCUGUAAUGAGAACGACACUCCUUCAUUUUAACAAGGUACCACUGCCAAUAUCAGCCCUGCUGUUUAGAAAACCUGAGGCAAUGAUUUUUUAUUUAUACAAGAGCAACGAAACCCAGCGAGAUCAGAUGUGAUCGAAGGCACCUUCCAGCACCUGGCACAGAGUGAAUAUUCAUGCAGCACCUUUAAAAAGCAGCUUACAUCCCACACACCUCACACCAAGGCACUGCCCAGCCCUGCCAACAGCUGGGCAGCCUGGAACAAGAACUGCUCACAUCCAUGUGGCCAGCAGCCCUGCACACUUCAAGGUGGGAAAUCAAGGCAUUGCAAUGAUCAAAAUUCGUUCAGUGGUUUCUCCCCAGUGAAGCACUUAAAUUUUUCUGCAAGACAUGACAAGUCUGAGGAAGGAAAGCUGGAGGGUUUCUUCACACACAGAUGCCAAUGCUUCUGGGACCUGCCACCCUUCCAUGCCACUGCAGCACCAGCACGGCUCGAGCACCUCAAACUGUCUGCACAAGUAACCCUGCUAACCCAAACUGGGCUCUCCCCAACUCCAUGAGCGGAGCAGCAGGAAUUUGCUCUCAGCUCUAGCCCUUCUCAGAAGCAAGUGAGCUGCCUUCUCUUGUUUCUAACUCACCUCACUCAAGAAUGAGUUGCACUUCAGGCUUUAUUUCUACCUGCCCAUAGUAUUUCCACUCUCUGUACAAAGGGACAAUUAAAUCAGUGGUCACCUGUAUGAGGGAUUAUGAAGUACAGCACUGGGACAAGAAGUUAGCUCUGAAAUUAGAUGGAGCAGACCAACAUUGGCUGGCUGGAGGCAUAAAUAGGACACUGACAAUUGCAGGUUCAUCUGUAUCUUGAGCUCAGCUGAGCUUCUUCUUAUCCACAAUUGCCUCUGUUGACUUUCUUUCUGUCUCACUGUCUUCAGGAGUCCUCUUAAAAAAAACCCAUGACUCCCUCUAAGGUGAGAGAAAACAGAACAGAAAACAAGAUUUUGCUCAAGCAAUGUCAUAGGAGCACUGUGUGGAGGAAAAAAAAGAUAUUUUGGUGGCACCAGAUUAAAGCCUCUGUGAUUGGAAAGAUGCCCCAUGGAGCAGCCACCCCUUUGGAAUAAACCUAGGCUUUAAUUUCAGGUACUGCAAGACAAGGAGCAAUGUCACUGGGCUGCCUGAGCUGCACCAACAGUGACCUGGCACAGCAAGGAGUGGCCAGAGCCAGCCCUCCCAGUUUUGGGGACACAGUACAAGGGCAGAAUGCAGUUUGCACUGGUAAAGGACUCCUGCCACCAAGAGCAAUGGCAAAGAACACGUCAAGCUACUGUCACACUCAGGGCUCUGUCUUCUCGGGACCAAAUGACUGGAACUGUGGAAAUGUUAUUCCUUUUGUGUGCCACAACCCUAAAAUGGCUCAGGACUGACAGCCCAGCUGCUCCACAAAUGAUAAAAGCUUUUAUACUUUUAACUGCACGGGAAGCACAGCAAAUCCCAGAUACAAUGGAAAGGACAAAAACAAAAUUAAGUGGAAAUAACAUUUAAUUUUAUGUCCAGGUCCUCCAUUGACUGGCUGUUUAGAUUUUAUCACAAGAUUUUGAGGCUGUUGUAGGAGCAUCAAAAUCUGCUCACUCACAAAACAGGCAGCCCAGGUUUCAUCUUUAAGAGGAUGGUACAUUCAUCUACAACAAAUGACCCCUCUAAUUGCAAGGUCACCAUAGUGGACCAAAGACAAAAUUCUUGAUGAGACAAAAUUUGGAGACUGUGCUGAUCUACACCUGACAGUCCUGUAACCCAUGGACAAGAUUUCCCUAAGCUUUGGGGAGGAAGUUGGUAAUUUAGUGAGUAAAUGCUUUCCCCUGCCACAGUGGAAAGCACUGGCAGCUCCCUUAGCCCUGGCACAUGAGGUCACAGGCACCCACCACAACCUGGUGCCUCAGGAGAGACCCACGGUGCAAAACAAAAAAGAUCCUGGAAUGCCAGCCAGCCUUUCUUGAGGGGGUAUUUACAAGGCCUGCAGCUUUCUCUUAUGGCUUUUCAUUACAAUACUUCAUUUAUAUAUUUCAGAUUCUCCUGCUGAGAAUAUAGAUAAGCUUCUAACAUUACAUUUUCUAUAAAACAGAGUCCCAAUACAAAGCUAGUGACAAAUGCUGGCGUCAGAAGCCUGCAGUAAUGGCAUUCUGUCAGGGCUUUGUAGAGCAAUGAACACAGAGUAAAACAAAAGUAUCUUCCCAACUUGUAAAUUUAUUUAUGGAACCCUUAAAAUAUGAAAUUAAAGUUCCUUCUGUGGGCAUGCAGAAGCCCUAUGUCUUAAUAAUUGUAUAUACAAGAAUGGCUUAAAACUGUAAUACAACAUUUGGUUUCGGUCCACAUUAGUUCUAGUGCUUGAUAUAUUCCUUGCAAUAAACAGAUUAAAGCUUAUUACCAUUGAUAAAGUCGAUCUUGUAGACCCCAGGGCGCUGCUUUGAAAAUUUCCAUGGUGAAAUCUGGCAGUGUGAUGCAAUGUAAUGUGGUAACACUGUGGUGGUGUGGCAGUGAUGCCCAUGCAUUGUCUCCAUGAUUUCUGAUUCUGACCCCACAACUAUGAACAAAGCUGUAACCUUACAGUUCAGAGAGGGACAAAACCACCCAGAAAACAUAAAUACCCACAAAAUAUCACACAGAAAACAUACUCCACUUCUUUGUCUUCCCACAGUUGAACAUUUCAUUAAAAAGCCAAAUGUUCAAUGACAUAGACCACUGAGUUUAACUUCAAUACAAGAAGAGUUGAUAGAAAAUUAUAAUAAAGAACUGAACAAGUGGGUGCAUGAUAUACCUGGAAAGAGUCAGAUAUUUUACAGAGAGCAGUCAUGCACAACAAUCUGUCAGAAUUCCCUGAAGGAGUUAACAAGCACAUGAAUGAGGGGACAUGGUCAGCAGGGACAUGCAGGUGGCUGAUGCAGUACAUGGGGCUUUUCCCAAACCCUUCAGCAGACAGAUUCAAGGAAUCUUUAAAGAGCCUUUAAAAAGGUAGGCUAUGGUGGGAGAGAAA
ensembl:lncRNA